rnacentral:lncRNA from 1 species
GACAGUCCGAUUAUACCGCGGACCGUCCGGCGUAUUUCGCCGGACCAUCCGACCAGAUGCGCAGCAUACAACUCCCCGUUGUACUGCGCUCUUCAAGUGUGCUUCUUCCCCCUUCUCCCCCUUACCACGGCAAGUCCUUGGGAAAUAACUCCGAUGGGCAGAAAAAAGAAGGGGUUAAGAGACCCUCCUGGCCCAACCCUAGACACUCUAAGAUCCUUUUUCAAACCUGCUCUGCUCCCAUUUCGAGUCAAGAGAUAGAUAAAUAGCCACAUCCCAUUGCACUGAUCGGGGGCGCUCGUAGUCAUGCCCGCACACAAAACACUCAGGUCGCACCAUACAUGGCCGGACCACCAGGGUACAACCCCGAACAAUUCGGCCCCAUCACGGACCGUCCGGUGCAUCACACCGGACUGUCCGGAUAUGUUGCGGACCUUCCGCCAUCUUACGUCGGACCGUCCGGAUAUGGCAUGAAUCGGCCGACGUAUUAUGCCGGGCCAUCUGACUCUACACGAGUCCACACGCGGACUGCCCAAGUCGCGCCAUAUAUGACCGAUCCGUCCGGGUACAGCCCUGGACCAUUCGGACCGAUCGCGGACCGUCCAGUUCUUUACGACAGACGGUCUGGGUACGAGACUACCCACGUAGCACCAUAUACGGCUGGACAAUCCGGAUAUACCUUCGGACCAUUUGGCCAGGUCGCGGACCAUCCGACCUCUUACGCCGGACCGUCCGGAUAUGCAUACGCAGAGCCGAGAGCUGUGCAAUACGCACAGUUCCCACAUUCAUCGCAGCAACAUCAUGGUGCCCCACCGGUAACACAUUAUAAUCAUGCCAUACCACCUCAUGGACAUAGGGCUGAAUACUGUUCGGUCACAAGAGAGCCUGAGAGGUAUAGGGCAGGAGCUGGUGACAUUAAUAGGACACCUAGCACACACCUCAAACAUCCCUGGGAGGAAAUCCGACAGAGUGAUGUCAGGCAACCUGAGAUUUCCACCCACAAACUCAAUGAAUGGUCGCUAGACAUGGCGGAGAGGAUCAGAGACGAGGUAGCCGGGAUGUUCAGGGACAAACUCGGUGUUAGUGUGCCAGGUACAGGGCAAUCGUAUCGGAAGCCUUAUAGCCACCGAUUCGACACCGUGUCAUAUCCACAGGGAACUAGAAUACCAGACUUCUCUAAAUUUUCUGGUGAAGGUGGGAAAAGCACACACGAACAUAUAAGCCAAUUCAUAGCACACUUGGGAGAAUUGGCUUAUGGGGAAGCCUACCGCGUUCGUUUAUUCCCGUUGUCCCUUACUGAUACUGCAUUCGCAUGGUACGCAGCCUUGCCACCAAACUCUAUUAACUCUUGGGAAGAAUUAGAGCAGAAAUUUCAUGAACACUUCUUCUCAGGAGAACAUGAAUUAGAAUUGGCUGACUUAGCCUCAGUCCGACAGGGGCCUGAAGAAUCGGUUAAUGACUAUAUCCGGAGAUUCCGGGACACUAGAAACCGAUGUUUUCAGAUCCAUGUCGCAGAAAAACAACUAACAGGGCUGGCUUUCAAUGGGUUGCGACCCUACUUAAAAGAAAAAUUAGAUGACACUCAAUUCUUUUCGCUAGUACACUUGCACCAGCGGGCUAUGACCUGUGAAAGCCGAAGUAAGGAAACAUCAAAAUCGGCUAGCCAUAAGAUGCAUCUAGUGGGAUACGAUAAUUCGGACGAUGAAUCCACGGAUGUAUACACCGCCGAACUAGUUUGGCCAGGACAGGCUAAACCUUCCGCAUGUUCUGCUUUACAGUCGAUUCGAAAGAAUCGACAAGAAGAAGUUAAGUUUACUUUUAAUGUUGCCAAAUACGAUAAAAUAUUUGACGAGUUACUAAAAAACGGCAACAUUAAGUUAACUCAUACUAUUCCUCCUCCUGAUGAAUUAAAGAGGCAUGCUUAUUGUAAGUGGCAUAAUUCCUUUUCUCAUGCCACCAAUGAUUGUAAUGUUUUUCGUCGACAGAUACAAUCGGCCAUAAAUGAGGGCCGAUUGGCUUUUCAGGAGAUGCAAGUAGACACACAACCUUUUCCUGUUAAUACAAUAGAACUCACAUGCAAAAAGGUCUUGGUUCGGCCCGAAAUGGCCGAUAAAGGCCAAGGCAAAGGCAUCGUCAUUAGCGAUCCUCGCAUGUCACUUAUAUCACAAAAGGAGAUUGCUCGAAAGGCUUCGGACGAGAAGGCUAAAAAGUCCGAAGACGCCGGGGCAGGCACAAUUAAUGAACUAAACUCAUCAGCCUAGCCCGAGCAUCGCAAAUGGUCCGGCACCUACGUGCGGACGGUCCGGUGCUCAGAUAAACGGUCCGGCUAACUCAGCCGGACAGUCCACUUAUGACCAAAGGCAUCAGCCUCUACACGAAGCAAGGAAAAAGACGCAAGGUCAAAGCACAUAUAGUCGGCUGAUCAAAGCCGACCCUACUUUUGAUCAGUUGCUCUCCAAAAAUGCUAGCAAAAAGACUGUUCCACGUGAUCGGUCAACAAAGAAACCUCGGUCACCUGCUAAAACGAAAUGGCCGAACAAAAUGGCCCAAAAGGCGACGCGACAAGCAUCGCCUAUUCAUCCUAUGAGACCAGGGUACUUUCCACCUGUUUAUUCAUCGUCGGUAUAUUGUCCUACUCAAAUGUGGAAUGGCAUGACGAUGAAUCCAUGGUACAUGUAUAGUCCCUUUGUCUAUCUAGGCUGGGGGGCACCUCCAUUCUAUUCAUUCUGAUGCAUUGAUCAAAUGGUCGUGGCCAAGAAAGAUACAAUCCAAAACGGCCUUUAUACAUUGGUGCUUUAUUGAAUGAUCUCUAUUUUGAAAAGCCGGUGACUUACAUCAGGUUUAGUUCAUAUGCUUUUGGUUCGUUAACCUUCACCAAAAGGCAGGGGCAUAUGUUGGAAGCCAAAAAAGGUUGUGCGGACGGUCCGGCCCUGAGGCCGGACUGUCCGCGGUGGUGACGCGGACGGUCCGCGCGUGCGCAGAGUCAGUUAGGGUUCCUAGUUUCUCGUGGGAUUUGUUACCUAAAACCGUGGGAUUGACUCAGAAAUCAGUUCGAAGCGGAUCCAGACCUCCCCCUUUAUAUAGAUAAAGGGCUACGACCAAUUGAACCCCCCAACAAUCGAUCAAAUCAAGUCUAUUACUCGUUUUUACCUUAUGCAUUAGGAGUAGUUCUAGUCUAGUUCUCGUUUAGCCCUAGUUUAAUAUUCCAAUCCCCAAAUUCUUCGCUUCUCUUCGACUCUACGUCGAUUAGAGGAGUCUAGGUCGGCCUGCCGAGCCUAGACAACCCCUAGGAUCUCUCCUCCCCGACGGGGUCCCUCCCAGGAGUGAGAUCCAAGCACCGCAGGCGACCUUUCGCCGCCCCUACGCACGCGCGGACCGUCCGGCCCCAGGGUGCGGACCGUCCGGUUAUCAGGCAGGGAACCCUAACCCUGCGCCAGGCCGCGGACCGUCCGCGCCUGUGCAGAGAGCACCGCCGCCGGUUCUUGUUGAGUGUUUGGCACCCGAAAAAGGUGUCAACAAUUACCUUUAUUUAUUCGGUAAUUUACCGUCGAUAAUGAAUUCGGUAUAUUUUCAUAAAAAUAUUAAAUCUGAGCCGAUCUUUGUAAAUUCAUAACAAAUCCAUCUUAACUUAGAAAAAUAUGAAAUAAAUUUUAUUAUUUUUCUAAAAUUAAGAUCUAUCUAAUGAUAUGUAGUUUAGAGUUGUUCGAAUAUUUUAUGGAUCUUAUUUAUAGUUUUUUCCAAUUAUUACUCUUAAUGCAUAUAUCCAUAAUUUGCACGAGGGUCUCAGAAGGACUAGGAUGAUAGAAAUUAUGUUGACUUUCUAAUUAUAUGUAUGUGUGCACGGUGCUUGUCACUUGUAUUUGUGAGUUUAAUGUCUUGUGAGAUCUAUUUACUACGACCGUCUUCUAAGAGGAUUUCAAAUACAAUUAUGUUAUUUAAGGAGUUGGUUACAAGAUAUUCAUCUCCCAAACUGGAUUUACUGAGAUGGUCAAACGUGGUACAUCUCCCAAAACAUAUUAAAUUGGCCCGGCUAUUCAAACUAAAAUAUAUUCUCUAAUUGAUACGCACAAAUUGUUGUAUGAGAUCGAUCUAAUCAUAUACUUAUAUGGUUAGUGUCAUGUUCUAUGGAUUGGUAUGUUUAUCGUUUUGGUAAUUUUUGAUCAUUAUCGAUGCACUUUCGAUCAUAUACUUCAGUUAUUGACACUAUCGAAAUAUCAAUGCCAUUUUCAUCUUCGGCAAUAUCGUAUCGUUUUCAUUUUCGUCAAAAUAAUUUGAAAGUGAAAGUGGUGGAGCCUUUUUUUGAUUGCUUCCGAUCGUUUUCAACCCUAGUUGGUCGAAACAGAGUUCAAGUUCUGAUUUCAACUCUGAUCGUUAGAACUAACUCCACAUCUGCCAACACUCAAAACUGGCCAAGGCCCAAGUAUUAGGAGCGCAAAAUAGUCGCCUUGAAAACCUACUUAUCCAUCUCAAUAUAUAUAUGUAAAUUUCACACCAAACAAACCUUAGAUAUAUGUGUACCUAAAUAAGACCAUGUGUCCAUGAGUCCAUCUCAAUUCACAUGUCACACUUACACAUAUAGAUUAUUCAGGCCAUGUAUUCUGUAUUUAUCUCAGUGAAUUGAGAUGGGUACGUACAUGUAUAUCUAAAUAAGACAUAACAAUGAGACGAUAUACAGUCAAACAGGUUGAAGUUCAUAUCCAUAUCGUGCGAGAGAGAGAAAAGACGAGAGAAUCAGGCCUGUGCAAUAGAUGCACGCGCUGGCAAGACAUGCAUAUGAAUCAUGUCAUCAGCAUGUUGGAUGGAAAAAGGCAUGUUGGUCUUGCUAUUUAUCUAAUUACUAUUUCGAGUACAAUAAACCGCCCAUGCGGCCGAUCGCAGCAUCGACAGCGUGGUUGGUUCACGUGUAAGGAGGGACUUAUAAGAACGAAAAAAAAACUGAGUGGACUUUUGUAAGAUAACGAUUAAUGAACCCAAGAUGUGUCAAUAGUCAAUGCAGGCAAGUUGGGUACAUUUGGUAUAUGCACAGUUACUCAGUUAGACGAAUCGAUGAAGGUCCGUAACAAGUACAAUAAUGGGCUCUAAGUCUUCUUAUAUGGAAGAGAAAGACAUCAAAAAAUAGAGGGGUUGUCUCUCAUGCAAGACAAAAGGAUGAAAGAGACAAGAGAUUUAUCUAAGAGCCAGCCUUAAAGUUAGCUUUAUAGUUUAUAAUAUGAGUGUGUUUAUUGUUAGCUAUACCUAUAGAUGACAUGGUAAAUAGUUAGAGCCAACUAUUAUUAAACUUGCUCUAAAGCGUUCGUGUGCAAACAAAAGCUGAAAAACAUUAAGGCCGGCAUGCAGAAACCACACCGAAAUUCGACGCGUGCAUACAGCUUUAAACGGUCGAAUAUGCCCCAAAACAGAGACCGUAGAUUCAUUAAACACCUUACGACUACUACCACUGCUAAUCUUGCACAUUACAUCCUUAAUACCGUCAUGACUUUGUUCUCCUACUUUUUACUGGCACCCAAUACUAGUACCACUAGCAGAAAGGCAGCAAGAGCAACACACAAAAAAGAGGCCAGGGAUAGGGCCACUCCUCGUCUCCUCCACUCGGGACUUUUUACAAGCAGCUGACGAAGCAGAGCACGUUUCAGCAGCAGCAGUCGGCUGCAGACCUCUCCGGGCCCCCAGCUCCCAGCUGCAAAAACAAGUGCGUGUCAAUCGACCGACGGGAACGGGACCUGCGAUGCCCGAGCGAAAGCUUCACUCGCGAAACGGACGGUCAGGGCCCCCACGGGGACUCACCGUCACCGACGAGGCCGGCACGUCGGAGCUCUUGAGCACGCGCAGCCUCUUGGCGGUGGCCACGAACAUCCUGCGGCGGACAGGGGCGGGACGGCACCCGGGCACGUGAGACGGGAAUUCUAUGAGAGUGACCGGGGUGACGCGGACGUGUUGUUGUGUGUGCGAAGCUGCGAAUGGGAGGGAGGAGGGGAUGCUGGUGCCGGUUUCCACUUACUCCCAGGGGACGUCGCCGGCAAGGACCCUGUCGCCCUCGUCGUCCUCGUACACCAGCGUGUAGUCGCCGCCGAUCACGGGGCCCUCCCCCUCCUCCUCCUCCUCGCCACCCGCCGUGGCCGCUCGGUCCCUCUGAGCUGCGCGAUCGGUGGAAAAAAAAAACUAGCUUGAUGCGACGACGGACAAGCAUGCACAUGGCGGCGACACACGCAGUACGGCGGCGUCCGUUUUGGUUUUGGAGGAGACAAGACAAGGCGGGUACGUACCGGCAAGCAGGCCGCGGAAGAGCUUGCCGACGGCGGCGGAGAGGUCGGCGUAGCCGCCGUACGCCGUGAGGUCCACCUUGCGCCCGAUCGGCACGCCGUCCAUGUUGAUCUUCACGAACAGGCCGUCCUUGGCGCUGCCCUCCUGGCGGGUGUGUUUCCCCGACGACGGCCUGGAGGAGGAGGCGGCCAGGUUCCUCCGGAACGACCGCACCGGCGGCCACCCCACCACCGGCGCCGCGCCCGCUGGCCUGACCCUGGCGGAUUGAAUUGAACGACCAUUAAGAAAAAAAAUGGACCUUUAGACAGUUGCCUUUUAGAAAAGCGAACAGAGAGAACAACAGCAACACCCGGCAGCCCGGCACCACCACCACCACCACCACCCACCUUGCCUUGGAGACAUUGCUCCCACUGGCGGCCUGGAUAGCGUAGGCAGAGGCCUCGGCGGGCUCCUCCCUGGCGGCGUCCAAACCUGAGGCUACCAAACGUCAGAACAUGGAACCACGUAGCCAUUUGCGACAGGAAACAAGAAGUGUACUACUAGCUCCAAUCGUGGCAGACGAACACCUGAAGGCCGGGCGAAGUAGGCCGGGAGGCCGAGGCUGAGCUCGAGGCCGCUGUCCAGGGCCUCCUCUCCGGCUCCGAGCGGGCCGCGCCACGCCAUGAUCGCCGCCGCCCGCGUCCCUGAAGCUCGCGGUCACGGUCACGGGUCACUGGCACGACUCAAGCAGAAGCAGGCAGAGAAGCGAGCAGUGGUUCGGCAAGAGAGGGUGUGUGUAUAUAAACGAGGAUGGCGACCGGGGAGGAAAGGCUGCCCCCGCCUGCCUCAGCGAGAGAGAGAGAAGAGUAUAGGAGAGCGCCAGAGCGGUGAACAGAAGAGGAGGCAGGAAGACGACGGAAGGAAGCACAGGUGCUGCGCCUCGCGGUGCCCGAGGUGACCAAAAGGCGGCAAGGGAACAAGAGGUCAGAAGGCUCCCUCCCU